UUUUUCUAUUCUAAGGUCAAAUAACAGCCUGCAAAGCCAAAUUCCCAAGGAACAUAAGAUAAAUAUAUUUUCAAAGAAAAUCAGCUGUAGCCUAUUUAUAGUUCUAAAAAUUCAAUUUUAAAGCAAUGUAUGGAAGAUACUAAUGAAUCUGAUUAAUUUGCCAUAAAUUUCCACCUCUCACAAAAAAACGCGUUUUUUGAAUUAGGGUAAACAUUACACAAACGUAGAGGUAUUUUACAGAAGACCCUCUUUAUACAUUCCCUAUAAAAUAUACUUUUUAAAAAACUGAAAACCUAACAAGAUUAAUGUGGCAAGAAGAGAAAAAGGGAAGUAUUCCAUAAAGUUUUAGAAGAAGUUUUAAAGGACAGUAGGAUGGAGCAUUUAAUGGUUUAAUGAGAUUAGAUUAUAAUUUAUCAGGGAACAACUACUUCUACCAAAUAUGUAACUUUCAUGCCAUAUUAACAGUAUACACAGGGAUGCUUCUAGUUUUUUACAAAUAAAAUGAGAUGAUUUGUUUUGGGAAACUCUGAGACUCUUAUGAGCAAAAGACAUAUUACAAAAUGAAUACAUCAAUUAGUGCCUGUAUUAUAGUAAGUAUUAUCAGGAUUUCUUAAAAACUGAGUUCUGAGUCCAUAAUUCAAUUGACAAGCAUUCAAUCUACAUACACCCUUUAGCAAUUCAUUUCAUGUAAAUAAAACAUCUGAUUCACUUUCUCAAAUAAUCAAAUUUGUUUAUUGCUAACUAAACUCACAAAAUCAAAGACAAUGACAUUCCAGUCUCAUGGGCAUAGAAGAACCAAUUGGUAACCUGAGAAAAGUGUCUCAAAGUUGAAGACCUGGUCCAGAAAACUCAGUGCAGAUUCAGUGUAAGUGUCCACUGAUCCUAUUCAGAAAGCUUUCAUCAGCCACUGAAGAAAAUCUGCAAAAA
rnacentral:lncRNA from 1 species